UGGGGAAUAUUGCACAAUGGGCGCAAGCCUGAUGCAGCCAUGCCGCGUGUAUGAAGAAGGCCUUCGGGUUGUAAAGUACUUUCAGCGGGGAGGAAGGGAGUAAAGUUAAUACCUUUGCUCAUUGACGUUACCCGCAGAAGAAGCACCGGCUAACUCCGUGCCAGCAGCCGCGGUAAUACGGAGGGUGCAAGCGUUAAUCGGAAUUACUGGGCGUAAAGCGCACGCAGGAGGUUUGUUAAGUCAGAUGUGAAAUCCCCGGGCUCAACCUGGGAACUGCAUCUGAUACUGGGCAGCUUGAGUCUCGUAGAGGGGGGUAGAAUUCCAGGUGUAGCGGUGAAAUGCGUAGAGAUCUGGAGGAAUACCGGUGGCGAAGGCGGCCCCCUGGACGAAGACUGACGCUCAGGUGCGAAAGAGUGGGGAGCAAACAGG
rnacentral:rRNA from 1 species